AACCCCUCCAAGCGACCUCGAGUUGACCUCCAGUCUCUACCUACACGGGCCUACCUAGAUACCACAGUGGUUCCUAUUCUACUCAGUGGGAUGUCUGUGUUAGCCAAGGAGAGACCACCUAAUCCUAUUGAAUACCUCGCAGCUUAUUUAUUGAAGAAUAAGAAUCAGUUUGAAUGAUGUAGGAAUCUGGGAGGAGGAUCUAGGUGGGGUGUUGGUCAAUUCUCACUCUGUGAACUGUUACAGUUUUCAUGCAUUCAUCUGUUAUUUGUGUCUCGACAGUAUCAUUUUAUGUCAAUGUAAUAAACCUUUUAACAUAUAAAAAUG
rnacentral:misc_RNA from 1 species